rnacentral:lncRNA from 1 species
UUUUACUAUUAUUUGUGGUUGAAAAUAUAAACAAGGCUUAAACAAAGAAGAUAAAAUUCUGCACUCAGAAAAAGGUAUAUUCUUCUUUUUUUCUUCUUUCUUUUCCCUUAUGUCAAUUCUAAAUCUCUUUCUCAUUGUACAUCCACUAAAACAUUUGCUAUUUUCUUCAUUCUGUUUAGGUUAGGGUUUCAUUUUUUCACUGAGUCUUCUGCAUUCAGUGAUGGGUUAACUUUCUCAACUUUAAGUUUGCCUUCGCUAUAUUGAAAAGUUGAGAUUUUAAACGGAAGGUUUUGGGAACAAUCGCGUCGUGGGACGGAUUGAUUAAACUUAUUUCCCCUAUUUUGUAGUUGAAUUAUAUUGUCCAAUUUUGUGUACCGGAAACACUUUUUGAUGAAUUAGGGUUUUAUUUAUUUGAGGGGUUUUGGAGCUAUGAUCGGAUGUUUUAUUCUGUUAGAAUGUUAUUAUUGUACGCAAUAGUAAAUUCUGGGUGGAUUUAGGAGUUAGGUAACAGGUGUAUAUGUAUGGGAAUGGCUGCAGAGUCUUCUAAUACAGGGUUUCAUCACCAAGCUU